rnacentral:rRNA from 1 species
CACGUAGGGCGCAAGCGUUGUCCGGAAUUAUUGGGCGUAAAGAGCUCGUAGGCGGUCCGUCACGUCCGCUGUGAAAACCCAGGGCUCAACCCUGGGCUUGCAGUGGAUACGGGCAGACUAGAGGUAGGUAGGGGAGAAUGGAAUUCCGGUGUAGCGGUGAAAUGCGCAGAUAUCGGGAGGAACACCGGUGGCGAAGGCGGUUCUCUGGGCCUUACCUGACGCUGAGGAGC